AUUGAACGCUGGCGGCAGGCCUAACACAUGCAAGUCGAACGAGUGGCGGACGGGUGAGUAAUGUCUGGGAAACUGCCUCAUAGCGGGGGAUAACUAUUGGAAACGAUAGCUAAUACCGCAUACUGUGACAUGGACCUGCGUUGUAUUAGCUAGUUGGUGAGGUAAAGGAUCACAAAGGCGACGAUACAUAGCCGGCCUGAGAGGGGGAGCGGCCACACUGGGACUGAGACACGGCCCAGACUCCUACGGGAGGCAGCAGGAGGGAAUCUUCGGCAAUGGGCGCAAGCCUGAUGCAGCCAUGCCGCGUGUAUGAAGAAGGCCUUCGGGUUGUAAAGUACUUUCAGCGGGGAGGCGUUACCCGCAGAAGAAGCACCGGCUAACUCCGUGCCAGCAGCCGCGGUAAUUC
rnacentral:rRNA from 1 species